rfam:Camelus ferus unplaced genomic scaffold scaffold504, whole genome shotgun sequence.
GAGGGUAUAGCUCAGUGGUAGAUUGCCUGCUUAGCAUGCAUGCAGUCCUGGGUUCAAUCCCCAGUACCUCCA